GAUGCCUCACUGUGAAGAUGACCAAAGGGAGCAGAGUUGGGCAGCCGCUGAGACAGCUGAGCUACAAGUUUGCUGAAAGUUCAGCGACGAUUACUGCGACCUUGAACAGACACGAAUGUUUUAUCAUGACACAGUCCGUACAGGACAGAAGCCGGCCGGUAAAGCAACAGCACUAGCAACACAUAGCUUUUAGUUUGAUGAGGAUACAUUAAAGGAGCUGUGCCUUACCUAUGCAGAAAAUCCCAUGUUAAGAUCACUCCCACAGUUGUACGGCUUCACCUUUUCCCUGUCACACCCUGAUGCCCUGGAUGCCUGUGUUUUCUCCCUGAGCCACCAGGGGGCCUCAGUUCCACAGCGAGGCACUCAGCUGUGACUUUGCCUUCACACUGAACCCUCCGGCCCCAGUCAAGCUGUCCCACCCUGCUUCCCCUCCAUCUUGUUCUUCUGCCUCUGGUUCUCCUCUUUCUCGCCCCU